rnacentral:rRNA from 1 species
GAUGAACGCUAGCGGCAGGCCUAACACAUGCAAGUCGAGGGGUAACUAGAGUGAUAGCAAUAUUACUUUGGCUAGACCGGCGCACGGGUGCGUAACACGUAUGCAACCUACCUUAUACUGGGGAAUAACUUCGAGAAAUCGGCGCUAAUACCCCAUAACAUUGCGAAGAGGCAUCUCUUUGCAAUUAAGGCUCCGGCGGUAUAAGAUGGGCAUGCGUCCAAUUAGCUAGUUGGUGAGGUAACGGCUCACCAAGGCUACGAUUGGUAGGGGUUCUGAGAGGAUGAUCCCCCACACUGGUACUGAGACACGGACCAGACUCCUACGGGGGGCAGCAGUGAGGAAUAUUGCGCAAUGGACGAAAGUCUGACGCAGCCAUGCCGCGUGCAGGAUGACGGCCCUAUGGGUUGUAAACUGCUUUUGUACGGGAAUAAACCCUUCUACGUGUAGGAGGCUGAAGGUACCGUAAGAAUAAGCACCGGCUAACUCCGUGCCAGCCGCCGCCGUAACAC